rnacentral:tRNA from 1 species
GUCCUUGUAGUGUAGUGGUUAUCACGUCUGCUUCACACGCAGAAGUACCCUGGUUCAAACCCAGGCAAAGACA